rnacentral:misc_RNA from 1 species
AAGUCGUAACAAGGUAUCCGUAGGUGAACCUGCGGAUGGAUCAUUACCGAGAUACUAUAUUCUCUACGUGAUGUGAACUGUUGCAAGACUACAGUCAGCGGUUUGACUAGACGUGUUCUAGUCCUACUGCUGACUGUACCUAGUCAAAGCGUAACUGCUGUAACUAGUCAAAAUAAAUGAGUAACUAAGAGAACUUUUAGCAAUGGAUCUCUUGGCUCUC